CCCCCGUACCGUAAACCGACACAGGUGGAUGAGGAGAGAAUCCUAAGGCCGGCGGGAGAAGUGUUGUUAAGGAACUCGGCAAAAUGACUCCGUAACUUCGGGAGAAGGAGUGCACAGAGAUGUGGCCGCAGAGAAAUGGCCCAAGCAACUGUUUAGCAAAAACACAGGUCUAUGCAAAACCGAAAGGUGAGGUAUAUGGGCUGACGCCUGCCCGGUGCUGGAAGGUUAAGAGGAGAGGUAGAGCAAUCGAAGCUUUGAAUUUAAGCCCCAGUAAACGGCGGCCGUAACGAUAACGGUCCUAAGGUAGCGAAAUUCCUUGUCGGGUAAGUUCCGACCCGCACGAAAGGCGUAAUGAUUUGGGCACUGUCUCAACAACACACCCGGUGAAAUUGAAAUACCAGUGAAGAUGCUGGUUACCUGCGCCAGGACGGAAAGACCCCAUGGAGCUUUACUCCAGUUUGAUACUGGGAUUCGGUACUGUCUGUACAGGAUAGGUGGGAGGCUAGGAAAUGGUGACGCCAGUUGCCAUGGAGCCAACCUUGGGAUACCACCCUUACAGUACUGGGUUUCUAAUCUGCAGCCGUAACCCGGCUGGGGGACAAUGUCUGACGGGGAGUUUGACUGGGGCGGUCGCCUCCGAAAGAGUAUCGGAGGCGCUCAAAGGUUCCCUCAGAACGGUUGGAAACCGUUCGAAGAGUGCAAAGGCAGAAGGGAGCUUGACUGCGACACCGACGGGUGGAGCAGAUACGAAAGUGGGACUUAGUGAUCCGGUGGUAUAAAGUGGGAUUGCCAUCGCUCAACGGAUAAAAGCUACCCUGGGAUAACAGGCUUAUCACUCCCAAGAGUUCACAUCGACGGAGUGGUUUGGCACCUCGAUGUCGGCUCAUCGCAUCCUGGAGCUGUAGCAGGUUCCAAGGGUUGGGCUGUUCGCCCAUUAAAGCGGUACGCGAGCUGGGUUCAGAACGUCGUGAGACAGUUCGGUCCCUAUCCGGCGUGGGCGUAGGAUAUUUGAGAGGAGCUGUCCUUAGUACGAGAGGACCGGGAUGGACAAACCUCUGGUGUAUCUGUUGUUUUACCAAAGGCAUGGCAGAGUAGCCAAGUUUGGCAGGGAUAAACGCUGAAGGCAUCUAAGCGUGAAGCCCCCCUCAAGAUAAGAUAUCCCAUCUUCGGAGUAAGACCCCUUGAAGACUACAAGGUUGAUAGGCUUCAGGUGUAAGUGUGGUAACGCACUCAGCUGAGAAGUACUAAUAGGUCGAGGACUUACCAA
rnacentral:rRNA from 1 species